GAUGAACGCUGGCGGCGUGCCUAAUACAUGCAAGUCGAGCGAACAGACGAGGAGCUUGCUCCUUUGACGUUAGCGGCGUACGGGUGAGUAACACGUGGGUAACCUACCUAUAAGACUGGGAUAACUUCGGGAAACCGGAGCUAAUACCGGAUAAUAUUUCGAACCGCAUGGUUCGAUAGUGAAAGAUGGCUUUGCUAUCACUUAUAGAUGGACCUGCGCCGUAUUAGCUAGUUGGUAAGGUAACGGCUUACCAAGGCAACGAUACGUAGCCGACCUGAGAGGGUGAUCGGCCACACUGGAACUGAGACACGGUCCAGACUCCUACGGGAGGCAGCAGUAGGGAAUCUUCCGCAAUGGGCGAAAGCCUGACGGAGCAACGCCGCGUGAGUGAUGAAGGUCUUCGGAUCGUAAAACUCUGUUAUUAGGGAAGAACAAACGUGUAAGUAACUGUGCACGUCUUGACGGUACCUAAUCAGAAAGCCACGGCUAACUACGUG
rnacentral:rRNA from 1 species